rnacentral:lncRNA from 1 species
UUUGGUUGAGAGAGAGUGAGUGAGAGAGAGUAUGAGCAGAGAGGGACGGGGGAGGGGAAGAGGAAGAGAGAGUAGCAGACUCCCCACUGAGCAGGGAGUUUAAUGUGGGGCUCGAUCCUAGGACCUUGGAUCAUGAACUGAGCCAAAGGCAGACACUUAACCGACUGAGCUGAUAGGUACCCCAUCCUCACCACUUCUAUUCAUUAUUGUACAAGAUGACGUGGACUAUACAGCCAGGCAAGUUAAAAAAAAAAAGUGUAAAGAUUGGAGAGGAAGAAGUAAAACUGAUUCUAUAUACAAAUGACAUGAUCAUUAAUGUAGAAAAUCCCAAGGAAUCUACCAAAAAAAACCCAACUACUAAAAUUAGUAAAUGAAAGAUCACUAUACAAAAUCAAUUAUAUUUCUAAACAUUAGUAACAAACCAUUGAAAAACAAAAUUAACACUCAGAGCUAACAAAUAAAACACUUAAAAAUAAGUUUAACAAAAGACACCCAAAGCCUGUAUUAAGCUGUCAUUUCUCCCGAAUUAUUUUUUUAAUUGACAAAUCAAUUCUAAAAUUUAUACAAAAAUGGAAAGGACCUGGAAUAGUCAAAAACAAUUUUGAAAAAGAAAGAAAGAUGGAAAAUGUAUAUUAUCUGACUUCAAGACUUACUCUAAAGCAACAGCAGUCAAGAAAGUGUGAUAUUGGCAUAAAGGUUGACAGACAGAUGGAUCACUAGAAUAGAACAAGGAUCACAGAAAUGGCCUUACACUAAUAUAGUCAAUUUAUUUGCAACACAAGCACUGUAUCUGAUCAAUGGUGAAAUAAAUAUUGUGAGCUUUCUUCCAUUUAACAAUUAGUGUUGGGGAAGAUGGUAGAGCAGGAGGACCAUAAGGUUACCCUGUUCCAAGCAUACAACUAGGUAACACUCACAGCAGCAUAAAUAACCCUGAAAACAAUCUGAAGACUGGCAGACAAACUCCACAACCAAAGGUUGAGAAGAGGCCUCAUCAAAGAAGGCAGGAAGGGUAAAGACGCAGUCUGGAAGCAAAACGGACCAUAGCCAUCUGAGACGGGGAAGAAGUCAGUGACAUGGAAAAGGACGGAAAACAGACUAUCACAGCAGAGAGCCCAUAAACAGGAAGAAUAAAUCCCCACAACAUUUGCUUUUGAAAGACAGAGGUGACAGUUUCAUGGGUUCUUACAACCAGCAGGAUUUAAAGCCUAGAAAUUAAAAAUCUGCAGGCUCAGCUCUGGGGGAGCCUGGAGAGGGUUAGGAAGUGGACUCCUUAUCCUUAAAGAGAUAGUAUGACAACAGCCUAUGCAGAUGCAGCAUAGACCUAUCAGUUUAAAAAAUGCCAGGGGUAGAUGAGAGGGAAGGUGAUUGCAGAUGAGAGGGAGAGUGAUUUGCUUAUCUCAAAGUGUGGCCUAGAGAGAGAAGGGUCACAGGGAGACCCCUCUAGGAACAAAGGAGCUGGCAGGCAUUACUUUCCUCUUGUGCCCCUCAGCAUAAACAAUGGCUACCUGCAGGCAGCAAAACCUCAACAAAACUCUCUACUUAACCUGCUUGCACCAGCACCCCCCAACACCAUCUAACAGAUCUGCCUUUUCCAGUCACGCUCACCUUAAUCUAUGCUCACCAGACCUGUGCAAAUCCGGCUAACAACACAUCUCUAGACUUGUUCAUUUUGCAAGAUCUCAGUUCCAGCUGCAGUGGGUGUAUAUCUUGUUUCACAAGCAGACCACCCCACACCUUGAUAAAAUGCAACCCAUUCCUGCUGGGGACCAAACACUCCCCACAAUAGGCAAAGAGAGCCUCUGCAAAUAACUGGAUGAAGGAAAAAGAGGAGAAAACUCAACAGCAGAGCACAGGCAACACACUUAGGAGAUACUCCCUGAAGUGCCACGCCCUGGGGAACUGGAACACCACACUGCAGGGCACUACAGGACCUCUUCUUCAUAAGGCUGUUAUUGUUAAAAACCAGAAAAGUAGCUGACUUUCCUAACACACACACACACACACACACACACACACACACACACACACACACACACAAAACCAACCAAAAAGAAAAAGACAAAAUGAGGAGACAGAGAAAUAUCUCCCAAGCAAAAGAACAGGAUCAAACGACAGCAAGAGACCAAAGUGAAAUGGAUGUAAAUAAUAUGUCUGAUAGAGAUUUAAAAAUAAUGAUCAUAAAGAUACUCUCUGGACUUGAGAAAAGAGUAGGGAAACAUCAGUGAGACCCUUAACACAGAGAUAAAAAAGAACCAAUCAGAGAUCAAGAACACAGCAAAUCAAAUAAAAAAUAUACUUGAUGGAAUAAGUAGGAGGCUAAAUGAAGUAGAGGAAUGAAUUUAUGAACUGGAAGGCAGAGUAUUGGAAAGUAACCAAGCUGAGCAAAGGAGAGGAAAGAAAAUCAUGUAAACUGAGAAUAGUCUUCAGGAACGACAACAAACAAAACCCAAACCCAGCAAGAGGAAGUUUAGAACAAAAAUAAAUGACAUAGAAACUAAAAAAAUACAACAGAUCAAAGAAACCAGGAACUGGUUCUUUGAAACGAUUAACAAAAUUGAGAAACCUCUACCAAGACUCAUUAAAAAAAAAAAAAAAAAAAA